rnacentral:tRNA from 1 species
AGCAGCGUGGCUCAGUGGAAAGAGCCCGGGCUUGGGAGUCAGAGGUCAUGGGUUCAAAUCCCGCCUCUGCCA